ACGGAAGGCAGCAGUGGGGAAUUUUGCGCAAUGGGGGAACCCUGACGCAGCAACGCCGCGUGCGGGACGGAGGCCUUCGGGCUGUAAACCGCUUUCAGCAGGGAAGACUUUGACGGUACCUGCAGAAGAAGCUCCGGCUAACUACGUGCCAGCAGCCGCGGUAAUACGUAGGGGGCGAGCGUUAUCCGGAUUCAUUGGGCGUAAAGCGCGCGUAGGCGGCUGCCUAAGCGGAGUUUCUAACCUUGGGGCUCAACCUCAAGCCGGACUCCGAACUGGGCGGCUCGAGUGCGGUAGGGGCAGGCGGAAUUCCACGUGUAGCGGUGAAAUGCGCAGAUAUGUGGAGGAACACCGAUGGCGAAGGCAGCCUGCUGGGCCGACACUGACGCUGAGGCGCGAAAGCCGGGGGAGCGAACAGGAUUAGAUACCCUGGUA
rnacentral:rRNA from 1 species